GACGAACGCUGGCGGCGUGCCUAAUACAUGCAAGUAGAACGCUGAAGAGAGGAGCUUGCUCUUCUUGGAUGAGUUGCGAACGGGUGAGUAACGCGUAGGUAACCUGCCUGGUAGCGGGGGAUAACUAUUGGAAACGAUAGCUAAUACCGCAUAAACUGGAUUAUCGCAUGAUAAUCCAUUGAAAGGUGCAAAUGCAUCACUACCAGAUGGACCUGCGUUGUAUUAGCUAGUUGGUGGGGUAACGGCUCACCAAGGCGACGAUACAUAGCCGACCUGAGAGGGUGAUCGGCCACACUGGGACUGAGACACGGCCCAGACGCCUACGGGAGGCAGCAGUAGGGAAUCUUCGGCAAUGGACGGAAGUCUGACCGAGCAACGCCGCGUGAGUGAAGAAGGUUUUCGGAUCGUAAAGCUCUGUUGUAAGAGAAGAACGAGUGUGAGAGUGGAAAGUUCACACUGUGACGGUAUCUUACCAGAAAGGGACGGCUAACUACGUG
rnacentral:rRNA from 1 species